rnacentral:rRNA from 1 species
AUUGAACGCUGGCGGUAUGCUUAACACAUGCAAGUCGAACGAGUGGCGGACGGGUGAGUAAUGCAUAGGAAUCUACCUUUUAGUCUAGGAUAACUACCCGAAAGGGUGGCUAAUACUGGAUGCUCAGAGAUGAGCCUAUGUGGGAUUAGCUAGUUGGUUGGGUAAUGGCUCACCAAGGCGACGAUCUCUCGCUGGUUUGAGAGGAUGAGCAGCCACAAUGGGAUGGAGACACGGCCCAGACUCCGACGGGAGGCAGGAGUGGGGAAGAUGGGACAAAGGGCGAAAGCCUGAUCCAGCAAGACCGCGUGUGUGAAGAAGGCCCUAGGGUUGUAAAGCACUUUCAGCGGGGAGGCGUUACCCGCAGAAGAAGCACCGGCUAACUCCGUGCCAGCCGCCGCGUAAUAC